rnacentral:rRNA from 1 species
UACGUAGGUGGCAAGCGUUGUCCGGAUUUAUUGGGUUUAAAGGGUGCGUAGGCGGCCUUAUAAGUCAGUGCUGAAAUAUCCCGGCUUAACCGGGAGGGUGGCAUUGAUACUGUAGGGCUUGAGUAAAGUUGUGGUUGGCGGAAUUGACGGUGUAGCGGUGAAAUGCUUAGAUAUCGUCAAGAACACCGAUAGUGAAGACAGCUAACUAAGCUUUAACUGACGCUGAGGCACGAAAGUGUGGGGAUCAAACAGG